rnacentral:ncRNA from 2 species
GGUCAUGAGUACCAGCAUCGAGCCCCGGCUUGCUGGUCGGCAACCCUCCUCCGCGGUGGGGUGCUCCGGGUGACGACCUGGCUGACGCCGGAAUACCGGCGCGGCAAGCGCGGACU